rnacentral:rRNA from 1 species
GACGAACGCUGGCGGCGUGCUUAACACAUGCAAGUCGAACGAUGAAGCUAGAGCUUGCUCUGGUGGAUUAGUGGCGAACGGGUGAGUAACACGUGAGUAACCUGCCCCGAACUCUGGGAUAACUGCUGGAAACGGUAGCUAAUACCGGAUAUGACCAAUGAAGGCAUCUUCUGUUGGUGGAAAGAAUUUCGGUUCGGGAUGGACUCGCGGCCUAUAAGCUUGUUGGUGAGGUAACGGCUCACCAAGGCGACGACGGGUAGCCGGCCUGAGAGGGUGAUCGGCCACACUGGGACUGAGACACGGCCCAGACUCCUACGGGAGGCAGCAGUGGGGAAUAUUGCACAAUGGGCGCAAGCCUGAUGCAGCAACGCCGCGUGAGGGACGACGGCCUUCGGGUUGUAAACCUCUUUUAGUAGGGAAGAAGCGAAAGUGACGGUACCUGCAGAAAAAGCACCGGCUAACUACGUGCCAGCCGCCGCGGUAA